CGCCAUCCUCCCUGCUCUGCUAGGGCCGACGACGCGUGCCACCAGAUCCUCCCCGCGCCGGAAGCACUCAUCGGGAGCUCCACACCGCCGGGCAUCCCCCAUGUAGCAGAGGGCGCCUCCCUCCGUCAGUCCAACCCCGACGCCUGCCGCUAGCCAACCUGCAUCAGCACCGCGGCAAUUCUCCCCUCAACCCUCCUAUCCACUGCACAACAGCGGCAAGAACCAGCUGUGGCUAUUUUUGUAGUGUGAUUUUUGUGUAAAAAAGCACACAACACGCUGGAGUCCGCUGCGCAGCUGAUCCACUCAAAUACAGCAGCAACAUCCGUGGAGCUCUUCUCGCGACAGGGAGCCUACAGCGGAACCGGAGUGGUUCAGGGGCAUAUCGAGCAGACUCUUGGACCCGGAGGUUUGUCUGUCCCCUUGUGCAGAGGCAGAGCAGAGGUUUCUCGCCGAGCGAGUGAGCGAUCGAUGCAUGCACGUCAAGUCGCCUGCAGCAGAUAAACACAAGCGGAGGUUCAGACGGCUGGCUGUUCGCCGUGCCAGGAUUCACUCGUGCUGCUUUUGUAAAGGCUCCAGAACUGCUACUCCAAGUUAAGAUCGAUAGGAUGAAACUGUGGGCAGCAAGCAGCAGUUACCUGUUCAAACCAGCGGUAUAAGCUGACUCCUCCAACAAGACACUAAAUUUGAUGAUUUGGUCCUUCUAAACUGUGUGGUGUAGGCUAUGGCAGCAGCACCAUUUUCCUCUUAAUUGUAACUUUUGUGUUUCUGCUACUGCUAACAGAGGAGAAGAAUGGCCAGCACCGAGCCACUGCUGCUACUGCUUGUGAUUGCUUGCACAACUUACCAGGAAGAAGACAAAACGAAAAAAUGAUGGAGUAAAAGAGAUAAAAAAGUAGUGUGCAUACAUGGUGUGGAUAAGAAACGUGUGGUGUUUGAGAGGAUAAGGAAUGUAUGAUACUAUUCAAUGAUAAAACUAGGAAACGUUCUAUUUGACUAGUGCUCAGAGUCAACUAUAAAGCUUGUAUUUUUAAA